UUGAGACUAUGGUACGGGAGCAAUAUAGCAACUGGGCUUCUGACGGGGACCGUAUACAACCUGAAGCUCAAGGGCGGGGUGGAGGAUUGGGUCCAAUUCACCUGGCAGGUAUAUACCCCUACAUGUAAUCGCCAAAUCUGUCAUUGUUCAGAUAUAAUAGAUAUGCAGCUAUACAUGUUCAGAUAUAAUGGUCAAAUAAAUAAUAGUUACACGACGGGCAAAUAUUAUUUUGAGCUUCUCAAUGUUACCGAGCAAAGUGGAAGAUCCUUUUUGCUUGGACUUUUUGGAGUAGCACUUGAGGAACUUCUUCUGUUGCAUAUCUGUUAUAUGUGAACAAUGGUUGAUAAUCUCCAUGUAUAUACGGCAUCCCCUGUAAAUAAUAUCCCUGUACAGUCCUAUGAGGAACAAAUUCGGCAGAAUAUAAGUGAAAGCAGUUUGAUGCAGGCGGGCUCUCUGAUCAAUACUGAGGUCAUACAUCUCUAGCUAACAGAUUACUACAUGGAUCAACCCAGACGACUACAUGGAUCUCUUACAUAUUGCUACAUGGAUCAACCCAGCCAGAUUACUACAUGGAUCAACCCAUCUUUAGUAGGCAAAGAUUAAGUGCCUGGAUCAAGCUUCCUGCAAAAAAAAGUACCUGGAUCAAGCAAAAAUAAUACAGUACCUUGACAUCGUCAGACCAACGCGGCAUGCUGCCUACCACAUGAUCUGCCAUGGCUGCCGGUCAUGCAUGCACAUCACCACACGUUGCAGGCAGCAGAGGUCGUUGAGUGGAAGCCGCCCAUGUGCCAUGGUCGAUGAGCCCAUCACCACCGCUG
rnacentral:lncRNA from 1 species